rnacentral:rRNA from 1 species
GAUGAACGCUGGCGGCGUGCCUAAUACAUGCAAGUCGAGCGAACAGACGAGGAGCUUGCUCCUCUGACGUUAGCGGCGGACGGGUGAGUAACACGUGGAUAACCUACCUAUAAGACUGGGAUAACUUCGGGAAACCGGAGCUAAUACCGGAUAAUAUAUUGAACCGCAUGGUUCAAUAGUGAAAGACGGUUUUGCUGUCACUUAUAGAUGGAUCCGCGCCGCAUUAGCUAGUUGGUAAGGUAACGGCUUACCAAGGCAACGAUGCGUAGCCGACCUGAGAGGGUGAUCGGCCACACUGGAACUGAGACACGCUCCAGACUCCUACGGGAGGCAGCAGUAGGGAAUCUUCCGCAAUGGGCGAGAGCCUGACGGAGCAACGCCGCGUGAGUGAUGAAGGUCUUCGGAUCGUAAAACUCUGUUAUUAGGGAAGAACAAAUGUGUAAGUAACUAUGCACGUCUUGACGGUACCUAAUCAGAAAGCCACGGCUAACUACGUG